AUUGGCAGUUGGCCCUUCAGCUGCUGUACAGCCUCGGUAGGGGCCCAGGGGUAUUGAAUCUGGUUUUGGACCACAGGAGGAGAGUGAAGUGAAGUACAACCAAUAUUGUCAACAGCAAGAUCGUCAAGUGAGUCCUGAUAAUAUAUUCAUGGAAAGAUAUAUUGUUCUGCUUCUAGGUUCUGUAGGGAAGGAGGGCCCAGGGAGAAUGCAUGUUGCAACUCUGCAAGCAGAAUCUACCCCUCUGCCCAUAGAAGCUGGUUGUGGUUGUUCAGUUUUCCUUUAGCUUUUUGGUUUCAUUUCUGCAAGUGGCAUGUUUUGGUUGCUAAGCAAGGUGUUGCAAAAUAUGAGGUGAGAUGUCAAUAUAACUUUAAAAGGGGAGAUGUGGUCAGAAGGGACGUAAUACUCAGAUUUUAAGAAGAAAAAGGAUUUUUGAAUUUGGCAUUAUUAACAGAGAGCUGUCAUGUUCCUUUCCCUCAACAGAGAAAAUAAGUGACCCAAAAUAGAAAAUAAAUGACCCUUUCUGUGAUUAGCAACUCACUGUGUUUGUUUAGUGUCAAGAAUGCUAUUAGUAACUAAUAAAAAUUUAUAAUCAUGAGAUCACCUCCCCAAACAAAAAUGAAUAAACAGAGAAUACAUCUUUAUAGCAAGUCUAAUGACACCUUUGCAGCUAAGGAGUCUGGACCUAGCAGAGUAUCCUGCAUGCCUAGAGCAGGCAUUUCAUAAAUGUUGAAAAAUGAGUGUUGUUUGCUGAAUAUUGAACUUGCCUUUGCAGUCUAUAUCCCUCCCCAAAUAAUCAGCCUGUUGUAUGACCUCCAGAUUUAUAUUAUUGCACCGUCACUUUGGUGCUGAGAUUUGGCAUAAUUACUUUAGGAAAAUAUCCCUUAUUGAUACACACAUUAGUCCACUGUAGUGAGUGGCACCUGGUAUGGGACCCUAAACCUGAUACAUUCUCAAUAAAUGCUUGUUAACCUGAAUAGUCACUAGGAA
rnacentral:lncRNA from 1 species